UGGGAACUGCGUUNUGAACUGGGUGACUAGAGUGUGUCAGAGGGAGGUAGAAUUCCACGUGUAGCAGUGAAAUGCGUAGAGAUGUGGAGGAAUACCGAUGGCGAAGGCAGCCUCCUGGGAUAACACUGACGUUCAUGCCCGAAAGCGUGGGUAGCAAACAGGAUUAGAUACCCUGGUAGUCCACGCCCUAAACGAUGUCGAUUAGCUGUUGGGCAGCAUGACUGCUUAGUAGCGAAGCUAACGCGUGAAAUCGACCGCCUGGGGAGUACGGUCGCAAGAUUAAAACUCAAAGGAAUUGACGGGGACCCGCACAAGCGGUGGAUGAUGUGGAUUAAUUCGAUGCAACGCGAAGAACCUUACCUGGUCUUGACAUGUACGGAAUCCUCCAGAGACGGAGGAGUGCCUUCGGGAGCCGUAACACAGGUGCUGCAUGGCUGUCGUCAGCUCGUGUCGUGAGAUGUUGGGUUAAGUCCCGCAACGAGCGCAACCCUUGUCAUUAGUUGCCAUCAUUAAGUUGGGCACUCUAAUGAGACUGCCGGUGACAAGCCGGAGGAAGGUGGGGAUGACGUCAAGUCCUCAUGGCCCUUAUGACCAGGGCUUCACACGUCAUACAAUGGUCGGUACAGAGGGUAGCCAAGCCGCGAGGCGGAGCCAAUCUCACAAAACUGAUCGUAGUCCGGAUUGCACUCUGCAACUCGAGUGCAUGAAGUCGGAAUCGCUAGUAAUCGCAGGUCAGCAUACUGCGGUGAAUACGUUCCCGGGUCUUGUACACACCGCCCGUCACACCAUGGGAGUGGGGGAUACCAGAAGUAGG
rnacentral:rRNA from 1 species